rnacentral:rRNA from 1 species
GAAUUCACUAGUGAUUCAGGCCUAACACAUGCAAGUCGAACGCCCAGCAAUGGGAGUGGCAGACGGGUGAGGAACACGUGGGAACGUGCCUUUUGGUUCGGAAUAACUCAGGGAAACUUGUGCUAAUACCGGAUAAGCCCUUCGGGGGAAAGAUUUAUCGCCAAAAGAUCGGCCCGCGUCUGAUUAGCUAGUUGGUGAGGUAACGGCUCACCAAGGCGACGAUCAGUAGCUGGUCUGAGGGGAAGAUCAGCCACACUGGGACUGAGACACGGCCCAGACUCCUACGGGAGGCAGCAGUGGGGAAUAUUGGAAGAGGGGGGCAACCCUGAUCCAGCCAUGCCGCGUGAGUAAAGGGGGUCUUCGGAUGUAAAGCUCUUUGGCGGGGACGAUAAUG